rnacentral:rRNA from 1 species
ACCUGGUUGAUUCUGCCAGUAGUCAUAUGCUUGUCUCAAAGAUUAAGCCAUGCAUGUCUAAGUAUAAGCAAUUACAAAGCGAAACUGCGAAUGGCUCAUUAUAUAAGUUAUCGUUUAUUUGAUAGUACCUUACUACAUGGAUAACCGUGGUAAUUCUAGAGCUAAUACCAUUA